AGUGGCGAACGGGUGAGUAACACGUGGGUAACCUGCCCAUCAGAAGGGGAUAACACUUGGAAACAGGUGCUAAUACCGUAUAACAAUCGAAACCGCAUGGUUUCGUUUUGAAAGGCGCUUUACGGUGCCGCUGAUGGAUGGACCCGCGGUGCAUUAGCUAGUUGGUGAGGUAACGGCUCACCAAGGCCACGAUGCAUAGCCGACCUGAGAGGGUGAUCGGCCACAUUGGGACUGAGACACGGCCCAAACUCCUACGGGAGGCAGCAGUAGGGAAUCUUCGGCAAUGGACGAAAGUCUGACCGAGCAACGCCGCGUGAGUGAAGAAGGUUUUCGGAUCGUAAAACUCUGUUGUUAGAGAAGAACAAGGGUGAGAGUAACUGUUCACCCCUUGACGGUAUCUAACCAGAAAGCCACGGCUAACUACGUGCCAGCAGCCGCGGUAAUACGUAGGUGGCAAGCGUUGUCCGGAUUUAUUGGGCGUAAAGCGAGCGCAGGCGGUUUCUUAAGUCUGAUGUGAAAGCCCCCGGCUCAACCGGGGAGGGUCAUUGGAAACUGGGAGACUUGAGUGCAGAAGAGGAGAGUGGAAUUCCAUGUGUAGCGGUGAAAUGCGUAGAUAUAUGGAGGAACACCAGUGGCGAAGGCGGCUCUCUGGUCUGUAACUGACGCUGAGGCUCGAAAGCGUGGGGAGCAAACAGGAUUAGAUACCCUGGUAGUCCACGCCGUAAACGAUGAGUGCUAAGUGUUGGAGGGUUUCCGCCCUUCAGUGCUGCAGCUAACGCAUUAAGCACUCCGCCUGGGGAGUACGACCGCAAGGUUGAAACUCAAAGGAAUUGACGGGGGCCCGCACAAGCGGUGGAGCAUGUGGUUUAAUUCGAAGCAACGCGAAGAACCUUACCAGGUCUUGACAUCCUUUGACCACUCUAGAGAUAGAGCUUCCCCUUCGGGGGCAAAGUGACAGGUGGUGCAUGGUUGUCGUCAGCUCGUGUCGUGAGAUGUUGGGUUAAGUCCCGCAACGAGCGCAACCCUUAUUGUUAGUUGCCAUCAUUUAGUUGGGCACUCUAGCAAGACUGCCGGUGACAAACCGGAGGAAGGUGGGGAUGACGUCAAAUCAUCAUGCCCCUUAUGACCUGGGCUACACACGUGCUACAAUGGGAAGUACAACGAGUCGCGAAGUCGCGAGGCUAAGCUAAUCUCUUAAAGCUUCUCUCAGUUCGGAUUGUAGGCUGCAACUCGCUACAUGAAGCCGGAAUCGCUAGUAAUCGCGGAUCAGCACGCCGCGGUGAAUACGUUCCCGGGCCUUGUACACACCGCCCGUCACACCACGAGAGUUUGUAACACCCGAAGUCGGUG
rnacentral:rRNA from 1 species